GUACGGUAGGUCAAGCCACCAGUAGACAGACAGGUAGGUACUGUAGGUCAAGCCACCAGUAGACAGCAGGUAGGUACUGUAGGUCAAGCCACCAGUAGACAGCACAGGUAGGUACUGUAGGUCAAGCCACCAGUCAGACAGACAGGUAGGUACUGUAGGACAAGCCACCAGUAGACAGACAGGUAGUACUGUAGGUCAAGCCACCAGAGACAGACAGGUAGGUACUGUAGUCAAGCCACCAGUAGAACAGACAGUAGGUACUGUAGGUCAAGCCACCAGUAGACAGACAGGUAGGUACUGUAGGUCAAGCCACCAGUAGACAGACAGGUAGGUACUGUAGGUCAAGCCACCAGUAGACAGACAGGUAGUACUGUAGGACAAGCCACCAGUAGACAGACAGGUAGGUACUGUAGGACAAGCCACCAGUAGACAGCACAGGUAGGUACUGUAGGACAAGCCACCAGUAGACAGAACAGGUAGGUCUGUAGGUCAAGCCACCAGUAGACAGACAGGUAGGUACUGUAGGUCAAGCCACCA